rnacentral:rRNA from 1 species
UACGAAGGGGGCUAGCGUUGCUCGGAAUCACUGGGUUUAAAGGGCGCGUAGGCGGGCUGUCAAGUCGGUGGUGAAAUCUUUCGGCUCAACCGGAAAAUCGCCUUCGAUACUGGCGGCCUUGAGGGAGGUAGGGGCAUGCGGAACUUCCGGUGGAGCGGUGAAAUGCGUAGAUAUCGGAAGGAACACCGAUGGCGAAAGCAGCGUGCUGGACCUUUUCUGACGCUGAGGCGCGAAAGCCAGGGGAGCAAACGGG